GACGAACCGUGCGAACGUUAUUCGGAAUCACUGGGCUUAAAGCGCGUGUAGGCGGGUCGGCGCGUCGGUCGCUGAAAGCCCCCGGCUCAACCGGGGAAGGGGCGCCGAGACGGCCGGCCUGGAGGGGGGUAGGGGGAGCCGGAACUUCCGGUGGAGCGGUGAAAUGCGUUGAGAUCGGAAGGAACGCCCGUGGCGAAAGCGGGCUCCUGGGCCCCACCUGACGCUGAGACGCGAAAGCUAGGGGAGCGAACGGG
rnacentral:rRNA from 1 species